CGUAUACUCAACGUUGGCAGCUCCCAUGGCCAACCCAGGGCAAAUUCUACGACCGGCACCAAAUGGCACCAACUCAAAAUGAUACCCUUUGAAAUUAACAUCAGUAUCUUCAAAUCUCUCCGGGUAAAACUCGUCUGGGUUUCGCCAGCUUUUCGGAUCUCUUCCUAUCGCCCAUGCAUUGACAUAGAUUCUUGUUUUAGGGUACACAUCGUAGGCACCUAAUUUACAGUGGCGCAUGGUCUCUCGAGGGAGUAGCAGAGGUGCUGGUGGAUGCAAUCUGAGAGUUUCUUUUGCCACCAUUUUCAGGUACUUGAGCUCCGCGACGUCGUCUCCGCUCAACACUUUUGGUUUUUGCAAGGUGCAAGUUCGGAUUUCAGCUUGUAAUUUGCUCAUCACCCUUGGGUUCUUCAUUAGCUCUGACAUUGUCCAUAGUAUUGUGAUUGCACUAGUGUCUAUUGCGCCAAGAAAUGUAUCCUGCAGGAAACAAACAAGAGAAGUUAAGGAGCCAAGAACUAUGCAAGUUAAACUCUAACCUGUGUUCAUAUAGAAUUUACUAUAAUUUAUCAUAAUUUACCAGGAGAAUUGCCUUGACAUGAUCAGCUGUAAGAUGAACUGAACUGGUUUGAUUUCUCCAAAGUUCAAUCAAAAUAUCAACCAGAUCUUCUUGUUCAGGUUUAGAUCUGGCUGGGUCAAGGUGCAAAUCUAGCAUCUUCUGUAAGUAAGCAUCGACCUGGACGAAGAUCUUCUCUCGCCUAGCACUGAGCCCUG
rnacentral:lncRNA from 1 species